CAAAUUUUAAACUAAUGACCUAAAUAUAUGAGUCACUGAAUACUAUUGAAAUCGGUGGACAGUGGGUUGUACUUCAGAAAUAUGCUGGGUGUGACGUGGAGGAAAUGGAAGUGGUAUAAACUUACCAAUAACCUUGACGUGUAGAAUUGUAAAACUCUGUAAAAGGAAAACAACAGUUAAAAUUUUAGACUUUUCCGAUCUGAGAAGUAAAAGUUAAAUAAUGUCUGAAUCUGAGACCUCUGGCUUGUUUUAUUCUCUUGGGAAGGAGCUAGUUAACCAGUGGUUCUUUCAUCGCUAUGUUUUGGUCAGUUUUUGGAUUGCAUAAUCAGUUCAAAAACAAGUAGUAUGAGGGUGUUUAGAUUUGGGCAUCUUGCACACUGGACGGGCUGCCUGUGCAUCCAGCGGAGCGGCAAACGGUCGACUGUUUAUUCUGUAGCAGAAUGUGCCUGUGGACCAAAGGCAAAGGGAAAAUCAAGUGAAUUAUCUGGUGUCUGCAGCUCUUCACUGCCAAGCGUGGAAAGAUGCAAGAUCAGCAACAGAUGGAAAUCUGUGGGAAAAAAAAAAAAAGAAAAAAGCAUUUGCAUGAUUGAAACAUCUUUUGCCAUUAAAACAUCUGGCAGAACUAAGCAUAAUAUGGGGGAGAUAUAA
rnacentral:lncRNA from 12 species